GCGGCUGUGUUGUAACGGCAGCAAAUCAGCUUCCCAAGCUGAGAGUGCGGGUUCGAUUCCCGUCAGUCGCUCCA
rnacentral:tRNA from 1 species